rnacentral:rRNA from 1 species
UACGUAGGGGGCUAGCGUUGUCCGGAAUCAUUGGGCGUAAAGCGCGUGUAGGCGGCCCGAUAAGUCCGCUGUGAAAGUCCAGGGCUCAACCCUGGGAUGCCGGUGGAUACUGUCGGGCUCGAGUCCGGAAGAGGCGAGUGGAAUUCCUGGUGUAGCGGUGAAAUGCGCAGAUAUCAGGAAGGAACACCCAGUGGCGAAGGCGGCUC